CUACGGGCCGCAGCAGUGAGGAAUAUUGCACAAUAGGGGGAACCCUGAUGCAGCAACGCAGCGUGGAGGAUGACGCAUUUCGGUGUGUAAACUCCUUUUAUAUGUCAAGAAAAUGACGGUAGCAUAUGAAUAAGCACCGGCUAACUCCGUGCCAGCAGCCGCGGUAAUACGGAGGGUGCAAGCGUUACUCGGAAUCACUGGGCGUAAAGGACGCGUAGGCGGGUUGGAAAGUCAGGUGUGAAAUCCUACAGCUUAACUGUAGAACUGCACUUGAAACUUCUAAUCUAGAGUAUGGGAGGGGGAGAUGGAAUUAGUGGUGUAGGGGUAAAAUCCGUAGAUAUCACUAGGAAUACCUAAAGCGAAGGCGAUCUCCUGGAACAUUACUGACGCUAAGGCGUGAAAGCGUGGGGAGCAAACAGGAUUAGAUACCCCAGUAGUC
rnacentral:rRNA from 1 species